GAUAGAGGUCGCGGAUUUUAUCAGUACUCAGCCAGCUAUAGUUCGGAAGACUGCUGCUGAAGAAAGGGAAAUUCGCCGAAGGAUGUGCAACCAAUACACACCCUGGGCUGUCGUAAUAAGAUGCGACAGACUGUCACGUAAGUGGAGCGCUAUCA
rnacentral:ncRNA from 1 species